UUACCACUUUUUGGCACUUAUCAUUGAUCGAAUGUGCUUUCGUGCUUUUUUCAUCUAAAUGUAUUAUUUGAUUAAUUGAUGGUUUAUGAUUUUUCUUUUUGUUGUUGAUCUAUGAUUGUGUGUCAGUGUUUAUUGAAAUCAAUUUUAUGCUGAAAAUUUUGAUGAAAAUGGAUAGAAACUUGAUUUAGGCUGAUCUAUGAUUAUUGAAAACUCAUAAAGAGUUCAUAUUGUUUUGUUGUGUUAAUUGUUGGCUGAAUAUUACUCUGUUCAUGUUAGGGUUCCUUUUUGAAAGAGAAAAAAGUGAUUCUUAUGGCAUAACUUUGAUUUUGGCUUAACUCUGAAUAUUACUCUGUUCAUGGAAUAAGGUUUAUGGUUUUCAUAGCAAGUACCAAGUAAUAUAUUGAUAUUAAAUUUCAAUUGGUCAAGGAACUUACAAAAGUGUUUGUAGAGCUCGCGAUCUUGAAACUAACAAAAUUGUUGCUUUGAAGAAGGUUAAAUCCACUAAUAUGGAUCCCGAAAGUGUUCGUUUUAUGGCAAGAGAAAUCAUUCUCCUAAGAAGUCUCGAUCAUCCGAAAUGUCAUGAAACUUGAAGGAUUGAUUACUUCAAAGCUUUUUGGUAGCAUGUACCUUAUUUUCGAAUAUAUGGAACUUGAUCUUACUGGCCUUUCAACAAUUUCUGACAACAAGUUUACUCAAUCGCAGGUACAAUCUUAUGUUUAUGUCAAAAACAUUGGUUUCUCCUUUGGUAUUUGAUUUAAGGAAUCAAAGCCACUGUAUUUGUUGGAUAGAAGCUUUUCAGCAUUUUAAAUUGAAUAUUUCCUCUAGGAUUAUAGUGGUAUAUUAAGACAUGAGAUAUAUUGAAAUCGAUAAUUUUCUCUGUCUGGAUAUCUUUAUGUUGUUGUUAACUUGACUAAGUGUAUUGUAAUGCAGCCAAUGAACUUAAUUUGUUUAUCAUGCA